ACUCGCUACCGAGCUAACCCAAACCGUUUGCCACCCCACCGCUAGCAGUGCCAUUGCAGUGGUAAAAUAGGAAGAAUUUUGCGUUUGGAAAUUGGAAUUAGCCUCACGUCUCCUGCUUUUUUUCUGUCGCUCUCUCUGCUACCAUGGUGGAACACAGAGCGGAAAAGUACUUGAUUGUGUAUAUAAGUUGUGUUGAAGUCUGUUUAUGGGAAGUGGGAACAAAAAUGCAUUUGAUGAUUAGUCCUCAGAGUCUUGAUGGAAGAAGCGGCGAACUGGGUUUGGAAAUAACCGUUGAAAGGAGGAGGGUCGUUGGUUUUCUGUGAUGGGAUCAUUGAGGCAAGUAAUAAUUUACUCCAAUCAAGUUAGACCAGCCUUGCAUGAUUUAUUUUUAUUUUGUGGGUUAUGGACUUUUGGCUAGCGAAGCUUACUAAACUGUUUGUUGCUGAUUCUUUUUUGUUGGAGAAGAUAUUUUUCUAAGUUAUUGAUUCAUAAAACUAUUUUCAACAACUAUGAGUUAAUAUUUCUUGUUCAACUGUUUGAAAUCUUAUUCUUUCUUAUUUUAUGUUUUUAAUGCACCCAUAUGCUUUAUUUGCAUUAAAGUCCCAUGAAGAAGCACAUAGAAAUUGAAGUGGCAAUGGUAAAAGAAAAUUUAGGAGGCUGAAGCUUCUGUUCAUUUCUUUGCAUUUUUUUUUUUCCUGUUUUGAAAUCAAGGACUUCUAUCCCAUUUUCUGUAUUUGCAGGAGUAAAAGGAUCAUCCCUGUUCAAUUCAUUACUAUUCCAGUGACUCAAAUAUGGAAGUCAGAUAAAAGUUGUUCCCAAGAGGGAAGAAAAUCGAAUUGCAGGAGGAAUGCAAACAACCAUGGUCUUACAUAAAGUGCGAUGAG